UGGGGAAUAUUGGGCAAUGGGGGAAACCCUGACCCAGCGACGCCGCGUGAGCGAAGAAGGCCUUCGGGUUGUAAAGCUCUGUCUGGAGGGACGAAAGAAAUGACGGUACCUCCGGAGGAAGCCACGGCUAACUACGUGCCAGCAGCCGCGGUAAUACGUAGGUGGCGAGCGUUGUCCGGAAUUACUGGGUGUAAAGGGCGUGUAGGCGGGAAAGCAAGUCAGAUGUGAAAUACCGGGGCUUAACUCCGGGGCUGCAUCUGAAACUGUUUUUCUUGAGUGUCGGAGAGGAAAGCGGAAUUCCUAGUGUAGCGGUGAAAUGCGUAGAUAUUAGGAGGAACACCAGUGGCGAAGGCGGCUUUCUGGACGACAACUGACGCUGAGGCGCGAAAGCGUGGGGAGCAAACAGG
rnacentral:rRNA from 1 species